rnacentral:lncRNA from 1 species
GUUUGUAUUCUAGAACUGUUAUUCCCCCUUUCUGCCUGUCUCUUUUCAUUAUUUCCCUUUAUAGUCUUGUUCUUUUGUUUCUCUAAAUUUAUUUUAUUAAAUUCCAUAAAAUAUUCCUUUGGUAAUUUGAUUGGUAAAUUAUUAAAAGUAUAAAUUAAUUUUUGUUAGUAUUGCCAUUUUUUUUUUAUAUUGGCACAACCUAGCAAGUAACACUGACUAUUCCUUCAGAUAUUUGUCUUUUAUUUUCUUAACACUUUGUAACUGAAUCUAUUCAGGAUUUUUUGUGUGCUUUGAUGGAUUGAUACCCACUUAUGCUGGGUAUUCUGCAAUGAUUUAAAAUGUGAUUUCUCUUUCUAUUAUUACUUCUGAGGUUUUAUUAUUAUUAUUACUGUUAUAAAGAAAUACAAUUGUUUUUGAGGGUUUGUUUUGUAGCUUGCAAACUCUGAUGAAACUCUUGUCUCAGUUUCUUGGUCAAAAUUUUGUGUACUAAUUAUUCUUUAAAUUUUUUUUUAUUAUAGCUUUUUAUUUACAAGUUAUAUGCAUGGGUAAUUUUACAGCAUUGACAAUUGCCAAACCUUUUGUUCCAAUUUUUCCCCUCCCCCCUCAUCUCUUCCCGCCAUGGCAGGUUGACCAAUACAUGUUAAGUAUGUUAAAGCAUAAAUUAAAUACAAUAUAAGCAUACAUGUCCUAACAGUUAUUUUGCUGUACAAAGAGUUUGAAAUAUGUACUAAUUAUUCUUUAAGAGUUUGAUAGAAUUUUCCUGUGAAUCAUCCCUCCCCCCAUAAAAAGAAAACAACACCCUUUCCUCCCUCUUCCAGUAAUUCCUUUACAACUGGUUCUAUUUCUUUGUGUGAAGUUGGGUUUUUCUAUUUGGUCUCCUGACAUUUUGGGUAUUUUAUGUUUCUGUAGAUAUUUGUUUUCUAUUUUGUUAGUGCAUUUAUUUUCUCAUUAUACACAAAACUGUACUUAAUAACUUAUCCAAAACAGAGAAACAUUGAAGUUUCCUGUAACUAUUGUGUUAUAUCUAUAUGUUCUUUAAACUUAACGUUUCCUUCACAAAUUGAAUACUAAGGCAUUUGGAGCAUAUAAUUGCCGAUACUGGCUUCUUUCAGUAUAAUAUAGUUGUUUAUCCCUUUUUUUUUUAUUUUUUGAAUGCUUUUUCAUUUUUCAGAUAGCAUGAUUGUAACUCUUGUUUUUUUUAUUUACUUGAUGCAUAGUAAAAUUUUCAAUUUUAUUUUAAAAAUGUAUUUCUUGUGAGCAACACAUUAUAGAGUUUCUUUGUCUUAUCUGUCACUUUUUUUGUCUUAUUGGAUUAUUUAAUCCAUUUACAUUUAAAGUAAUGAGUUAAGUUUAUAUUUUCCUUCAUAUUUUUUUAAGUUGGGUUUUUAUCGUGUUAUGAUCCCCUUCCAUUUUUGUCCUGUGAAAAUAGUCAUUUCAUUGACUUUAAUAUCUUUUAAGGUAUCCAUCCUAUUCCCACUGGCUCCUUUCCUCUCACCUCCUCACCCCCACUUCCAUUUGUUACUCCAUUCCCUUCAAAGAUUUGCUUAUUAGUUCCUUUUUCUUUCCUGACUUUAUGUAGUUGUAUUCCCCUUUUUUUUCUUCUCAGUCAGGUAAAUUCUCCCUUUUUCUCCUUUUCUUCAAAUAAUCCUGUUAUUAAAAAAUGUUCUUUCCAAAUGGUAUUUUUCUCACUCAUCAUUCUCAUUUUGUUUACUCUAGACUCUCAUUCUCUGAUUCAAGACCCCAAUAAGUAUCUAGUCUGUCUUUACUCUGUAUUCUUCAUGCAAAGCUUCCAUGAUCUCCAUUCUAGGCUCUACAUUGUAGGCACUUUCUAAUACUGCCUUGUAGGGCUUUCCUUUUUCCACUCUCAGUCCCAGAAGAAUGCCAAUGAUUACAGGUGAUGUGGAAGAAACUGAUUCAUGGUAGUAGUCUCCCAUCAGAUGCCUAAUUAUGCAGCCCCACCACUGAUCUUGUUCAUUUUUUCAACUCUUUUGUUCUUUCUUGCCUGGAAAUCUCUGUGUCCAUUCUCUUUUACUCCUUCAGGUAUUAGAUGCCCCCAAGAGUUCCAACUCCCCUUCUCCCUUUAUUAUCUCUUUUCUUUUUCCUUUUUUAAAAUAGCUAUUAUGUCAGAAUAAACUUCAUUUCUAUUUGCUUUAGAAAAACACUUUUUUUCUCUUCAGAACACCAAUUUUAAGUGAAACAUAUAAAAGAGACGAGACAGACCAAAUUAUUGCCAAAAAUGCCAAAUUAUUAUCUUUCUUCAAAUAGAGGAGAACUCAUUAAUGGAAUCUUCUCUUACCUCCAAAGCAAGGUCUCCUUUCCCCAUUCUGUUCAAUUCCUUCCUUUCUUCCUCUAUUAUCUUAUAGGCUCUUCUCAUUUUAAAACCAAAGGAUAUCUUCCUCUCAUUGCUAACCCUUAAUUUGACCUAAGGACAUUAUUUACUCUCCUCUCUCCCCUUGCUGCCUCAUGUUGACAUAUGCAGUCCCACAAAAAAUGAUAUAUUGAGUUGCAGACAGUAUCAUCAGGCUUUGUCCAUUAGUAUCCCCAUCUGUCUCUUCACUGCUUUCCCUACCAGAUUUCAGCUUCUUAUAUUGUCUCCUUGUGUAUACAUAAAAAUGUCUUACCAGAUCUCUUUGUUGUUACUCUGUGCUAUUGCUGUCCUUGGCUGUUGCAUUUAUUCACUCCUCCUGCAUAUCUGUUGUUUGAGGUGUUUGAGAGGUGAAUAUCUUCAGUUUUGGUUUUCUAAAAAUGCUUCAAAUUAUUUUUAUUACUGAAUAUCCAUCUUUGGUCUUAUGUGGCUAGGUCACUCUGGGUUGCUUCCUGAACUCCACUGCUCUUUAUAACACAUUAUUCCAUUUCCUCCUCCUUUUUCUAGUAGGUGCAGAAUAGGCUUGCAUUAUUUGAAUGUCCAUUCCUUUUUAUUUGAAGGUCUUCCUCCUGAUUACUUGCAAAACUGUUUCUGAAUAGAAUUAUUAAAUUUAAUCACUAUGUAGAAGUUUGGAGCCCUUGGCCUUUUUAUUUUAAAUGUCUGGAAGUUGUAUGUGAAUUCUUUCAAUGGGAAUUUCAUUUUUUAUAUUCAGAAAUUCUGAACAGCUAUCUUCUAUUAUUUUCUUCAUUACAGUAGUAAGAUUGUGUCCUGUUGUAAUCUUUUGAAAGAUCUUUGAUCCUUAUGUUGUCUCUGUUCAAUUUGGCUUUGAGGACAGUGUUUUACCUGCAUAGUCAACAUAUUUGAUAUCUUUUAAUGUGUUUCUCCUCUUCCAGGUUGUCUUUCAUUUUUGUGUCUCUGCAUUCCCAAUCUAUUGUUCUCUUUUGUUUCUUCAAUGAGACUUAGCAUCGAAGAUUCAAGUUUUUCUAUUCUGCUCAUUUUUGCUGGGGGGAGCAUAAAUUCUGCUCACAUGAUUUUCAUUUCUCUUUUAAACCACUCAUGGUGUGUUAUGGUUCCAUGUUCUUGAAUCCCACAGAGUACUCUGUCUCGUCAAAUGUUGGAUCAUUUCUUUUUUUUUUUUUUUUGGCAGCAUUUCUUCAUAGAUGCCUGAGCUUGUUUAUUAGAUCUGGAGGUUUUAUUUACUUCUGUUGUUACUGUUUUUCUUGAUUUAUCUGUUUGAGGUCUUUGCAUUUUCUUCUUCUGAAAUCUUAUUUUUCCAGUCUUUCCUCAUACCAUUUUCCUUAUCAUUUACCUCCUGACUCCCUCCCCUCUGUGGGUUCCUUGAGGCCUGGAUCUUAAAGUGUCUCAGCCCUCUCCCACACUGGGCAACAUGGCUCAACAUCCUCCAUCUGCCCCCCAAAUAACAUGGUCAGAGCUAGCCCCAGAGAUGCUGUGCUCUUUCUUUAGGUUGGGAAGCUCCCUACAUAGCUGGUGUUUUGUCCUGGUGAUCUAUUCCACUCUCUCUCUCUUCCUUGGUUCUCUUACCUGGCAUCUCAGAGCCAGUUUUAUGCAGCACUGGCAGUUCAGAACUUUGUACUGCUGGUGCUUCCAGGUUGCUGCCCUUAAUAGGUUUCUGUUCCUGAAGGACUGUGAAGCUGGCAGUUGAUACCUGAGCAAAUUUCUGCAGUCUGGGGGUGCGAUCCCCAAUGACACUAGAAAGAAAGAGGAUGGAUGGGUUUUGAUGUAAACCUGUGCCAUGUUGUUGGGUCUGUUAGCAUAGGCCCUGCCAUUGGUAGCAUGACAGGUCAAGAAAGGGUGCUAAGUGAAUUAGUGAUCAGUGAUCAUGAUGUUCUUAUGUUCUGGAAGUUUAUAUCUUCUUUGGAUUCUUGUCCCAGAACAUGAAAGACAGCUAAAAUUACUUUAUCUUGGUACAUAAUUUGUUUUGGGGAGAUUUGAGAUGUAAUGGGGAUUGGAGAAAAUGUCACCCUCUAUGUUGCUUAUGUGAUCUGCAAGUCUUCAGAAUAAUUUUCUAUAUCCAGUGAGACAUUGUUCAUCAUCAAAUAACUGCUUUGCCUUAUAACAUCUCCUUCUUGACAUCUCUUUUCCCUCAUGCCUUGUCCUUUUUCUGGAAUGCUUAUAUCUUGAAUCAUUUUAUGUCUGAAAUCUGGCUUUCUAGUUGAUUAACAUCAAUUUGCCUGUGACAACAGAAGUUAGAAACCAGAUAUCCUUGGGUGAAACCCCUCCCCUGAACAGUAUGAAACUCCUGGCUUUCUUCAGUAUCUCUUUAUGCAUGGAAUCACAGACCCACAAGUCUCCACCAAGAGAUGACAAAUGAUGCAUUCUCUUGAUUUCAUCAUCUUGCCUUGACCUGAAGACCAUGAUUCCUGAGACAAUCUGGUGACGCUUCUGAUUAUGCCCCUUUCUAUUCCCACCCCCAUCCUGUUUAGAAAGUAUUGACUACUUUUACUUUGGGGGCAGUGGUGGAUUCUUUCCCAACAUCUUUACCUUACUGCCCCUACCUUUCUUCCUUUAUGGAAUUCUCCUUUAGGAGUCUCUUUCAAACAUAGAGACUUGCUGCUUUUAGCAUGGAUUGAAUCAUUUAAUUCUUUUGGAAAGCCCCUUUAAGUUGGAACAAUGGAUUGGAGUAUCUUAUUUCACCCCUGCUUCUUAUCCACCAGGAAUUGGUCUAGUAUCUACAUGGAAAUUAAAGUGGUGGUACAGCUAGAAAGAUAAGCAUUAGGGAAGCUGUAACAAUGUCCAACAGAGUUCUGUGUUUCCUUUUGCUUUCAAGGGAGGUCAGAUUUAAGUAACAUAAGGAUAAGCCAAUACUGGAAUCAUAUGGAGGAAAAUAAGUCAUAUAAUUUAUUAACUUUAAAACUUCAUAUAUAUAUCCAUUGACCCACAUUGAAAAUACCAUGCACAAAGCUUAAAAGGGGAGAUGGGAAAUCUCUUGGGUAACCACAAAUAAGACAUAAUCAAAAGAUCCUUGAGUUCCCUUGCCAGCCAACAGAUUUCUACAACAGUUGUCACAGAGCUGCAUGAGGAGAUAAAUGCCAAGAGCAAUUUUUGAGGAAAGUGUACAACUGGUCCCAUUCUUCCAAUGAUACUUAGGGGUACUCUGGACAAGCCAACCAUGGGAACAUACUAUAUGGAUGCAAGAAAUUCUUCAGGAAAGGUCACUGGUAGAGAACUAUUUUUAAUUGUUGAAUUUUGGCUUUUAACACCAAGUGCUUAACUUACUCAGAAAAUAAUUCCUUAUUUAUUUGAUUCUUCUGUAUUUCAUAAACACUGAUUAUUUUUUCCCCUAGACCAAUAGGGUAGAAAAGAAAGCAGAGUUAUAACUACAUACAUGCCUCUGAUUUGAGCUGUGUCUGUGCCCAAAUGUUCCUAUUAGAGAGGACUUGAAGCUUGAGGAAUUCUCCUAUAUAGCAUCAGUGGGUGAGAAAUCCUCAUUAGGAUUCUGUCAAGUUUUCUAAACUGGUAGGAUCAGAUAGGAUGACAUACGUGUGUGUGCAAGGGAUAAACCUAAGAAGUGAGAUAGUUUCUUUUCUUUUUUUUUUUUUUUCUUUUCUUUUUCUUUUCUCUUUUUGCUGAGGCAAUUGGGGUUAAGUGACUUCCCCAGGGUCAUACAGUUAAUUAGGAAGGAUUAAGUGUCUGAGGCCAAAUUUGAAUUCAGGUCCUUCUGACUUCAGGGCUGUUGCUCUAUCUAUUGCACUUCUUAGCUACCCUGAGAUAGUUUCUUUUCCAUUUUAUACUUGAAAAGUCCAGAAAUGAUCACUUAACAACUGGAAUAUUACACAGGCAGGCUUAGGCCUCAAAGCUCCACCAACAACUUUUUAAUCUCCAUAUGUAUAUGUAUAUGUAUAUGUGUGUGUCUGUGUGUGUGUGUAUUUCAGACUAAAAUACAGAUUAAAAUGUAAAAGCACCCCAUUCAGAUGGUAAUAAACAAUCUAGAUCACACACACACACACACACACACACACACACACGAAUUCAAGAUCAACACUCACAAAAUAACAA